rnacentral:tRNA from 1 species
GCGGGAUUAGUUAAACGGCUAUAAUAUUUGCCUUCCAAGCAGAAGUUACCGGUUCGAUUCCGGUAUCCCGCACCA